GACGAACGCUGGCGGCGUGCUUAACACAUGCAAGUCGAACGGAAAGGCCCUGCUUUUGUGGGGUGCUCGAGUGGCGAACGAGUGAGUAACACGUGAGUAACCUGCCCUUGACUUUGGGAUAACUUCAGGAAACUGGGGCUAAUACCGGAUAGGAGCUCCUGCUGCAUGGUGGGGGUUGGAAAGUUUCGGCGGUUGGGGAUGGACUCGCGGCUUAUCAGCUUGUUGGUGGGGUAGUGGCUUACCAAGGCUUUGACGGGUAGCCGGCCUGAGAGGGUGACCGGCCACAUUGGGACUGAGAUACGGCCCAGACUCCUACGGGAGGCAGCAGUGGGGAAUAUUGCACAAUGGGCGGAAGCCUGAUGCAGCAACGCCGCGUGCGGGAUGACGGCCUUCGGGUUGUAAACCGCUUUCGCCUGUGACGAAGCGUGAGUGACGGUAAUGGGUAAAGAAGCACCGGCUAACUACGUGCCAGCAGCCGCGGUGAUACGUAGGGUGCGAGCGUUGUCCGGAUUUAUUGGGCGUAAAGGGCUCGUAGGUGGUUGAUCGCGUCGGAAGUGUAAUCUUGGGGCUUAACCCUGAGCGUGCUUUCGAUACAGGUUGACUUGAGGAAGGUAGGGGAGAAUGGAAUUCCUGGUGGAGCGGUGGAAUGCGCAGAUAUCAGGAGGAACACCAGUGGCGAAGGCGGUUCUCUGGGCCUUUCCUGACGCUGAGGAGCGAAAGCGUGGGGAGCGAACAGGCUUAGAUACCCUGGUAGUCCACGCUGUAAACGGUGGGUACUAGGUGUGGGGUCCAUUCCACGGGUUCCGUGCCGUAGCUAACGCUUUAAGUACCCCGCCUGGGGAGUACGGCCGCAAGGCUAAAACUCAAAGGAAUUGACGGGGCCCCGCACAAGCGGCGGAGCAUGCGGAUUAAUUCGAUGCAACGCGUAGAACCUUACCUGGGUUUGACAUGGAUCGGGAGUGCUCAGAGAUGGGUGUGCCUCUUUUGGGGUCGGUUCACAGGUGGUGCAUGGCUGUCGUCAGCUCGUGUCGUGAGAUGUUGGGUUAAGUCCCGCAACGAGCGCAACCCUUGUUCACUGUUGCCAGCACGUUAUGGUGGGGACUCAGUGGAGACCGCCGGGGUCAACUCGGAGGAAGGUGGGGAUGACGUCAAGUCAUCAUGCCCCUUAUGUCCAGGGCUUCACGCAUGCUACAAUGGCUGGUACAGAGAGUGGCGAGCCUGUGAGGGUGAGCGAAUCUCGGAAAGCCGGCCUCAGUUCGGAUCGGGGUCUGCAACUCGACCUCAUGAAGUCGGAGUCGCUAGUAAUCGCAGAUCAGCAACGCUGCGGUGAAUACGUUCCCGGG
rnacentral:rRNA from 1 species